UGGGGAAUAUUGCACAAUGGGGGAAACCCUGAUGCAGCAACGCCGCGUGAGUGAAGAAGUAUUUCGGUAUGUAAAGCUCUAUCAGCAGGGAAGAAAGUGACGGUACCUGACUAAGAAGCCCCGGCUAACUACGUGCCAGCAGCCGCGGUAAUACGUAGGGGGCAAGCGUUAUCCGGAUUUACUGGGUGUAAAGGGAGCGUAGACGGCACAGCAAGUCUGAAGUGAAAUCCCCGGGCUCAACCCGGGAACUGCUUUGGAAACUGCUGGGCUGGAGUGCUGGAGAGGCAAGCGGAAUUCCUAGUGUAGCGGUGAAAUGCGUAGAUAUUAGGAGGAACACCAGUGGCGAAGGCGGCUUGCUGGACAGUAACUGACGUUGAGGCUCGAAAGCGUGGGGAGCAAACA
rnacentral:rRNA from 1 species